GAUGAACGCUGGCGGCGUGCCUAACACAUGCAAGUCGAGCGUGAACCCUUAGAAUGAAACUUCGGUCGAAUGAAGAGGGGGAAAGCGGCGGACGGGUGAGUAACGCGUAGGCAACCUGCCCCGUACAGAGGGAUAGCCUCGGGAAACCGGGAUUAAAACCUCAUAAUACCAUGGUAUCACAUGAUGCAAUGGUCAAAGAUUUAUCGGUAUGGGAUGGGCCUGCGUCUGAUUAGCCUGGUUGGUGGGGUAACGGCCUACCAAGGCAACGAUCAGUAGCCGACCUGAGAGGGUAAUCGGCCACAUUGGAACUGAGACACGGUCCAAACUCCUACGGGAGGCAGCAGUGGGGAAUAUUGCACAAUGGGCGAAAGCCUGAUGCAGCAACGCCGCGUGAGCGAAGAAGGCCUUUGGGUCGUAAAGCUCUGUCGGGAAGGAAGAUAAUGACGGUACUUCCCGAGGAAGCCCCGGCUAACUACGUG
rnacentral:rRNA from 1 species